rnacentral:rRNA from 1 species
GAUGAACGCUAGCUACAGGCUUAACACAUGCAAGUCGAGCGACCGGCGCGCGGGUGAGUGACACGUAUCUAACCCGCCCUUUACUCGGGGAUAGCCUUUCAAAAGAAAGAUUAACACCUGAUAUAAAGGAUGGGGAUGAGUUGCAUUAGGUUGUUGGUGAGGGACCGGCCCACCAAGCCUUCGAUGGAUAGGGGUUCUGAGAGGAAGGUCCCCCAGAAUGGAACCGGGCCAAGGUCCAAACUCGUACGUGAGGCAGGAGUGAUGGAUAUUUGUCAAUGAGCGUUAGCGUGAACCGGCCAAGUAGCGUAAAGGAUGAAGGCUUAUGGGUCGUAAACUUCUUUUAUAUAAGAAUAUGUAUUAAAUGAAUAAGGAUCGGCUAACUCCGUGCCAGCAGCCGCGGUAAUUC